rnacentral:rRNA from 1 species
UAACAAAAACAUGUCUUGGUGAAUAUAUUAAUAUCAAGUCUGUCCUGCUCAAUGACUUUAAAGUUAAAUGGCCGCAGUAUUUUGACUGUGCGAAGGUAGCAUAAUCAUUUGUCUUUUAAUUGAAGGCUUGUAUGAAUGGUUUGAUGAGGGAAUAACUUUCUUUAUAUUAAAUAUUGAAUUUAAUUUUUUAGUUAAAAAGCUAAAAUUUUUGAAUGGGACGAGAAGACCCUAUAGAAUUUUAUUUUUUAUGUUAAUUUUAUAAUUUGGGUAUUGAUUUUUAUUUUUUUAUAUAAAAAAUUUUGUUGGGGUGACAUUGAGAUUUUAGAAACUCUCAAAAAUUAUUUUUUAAUUAUUAUUAUUAUUUAGAUCCUAUUUUAUGGAUAUAUAGAUUAAAUUACCUUAGGGAUAACAGCGUAAUUUUUCCGGAGAGUUCUUAUCGAUGGAGGAGUUUGCGACCUCGAUGUUGGAUUAAAAUUAGUUUUAAGUGCAGCAGCUUAAUUUCUAGGUCUGUUCGACCUUUAAUA